rnacentral:lncRNA from 1 species
GGAAAAGAAGUCCCUUGCUCAGGUCCCAGGCAGUUAGUUGGUUGCUGACUGGGUGCAAUCUGGGAGUUCGAAGGACUCAGCUACAAUGAGAAGGGGCCAGAGAGGACACCAUGGUUUCCCAGCUUUCUGACCAUCCUCUCCUUCUGACCAUCCUCUUUUCACUCCUAGCAGAUUUCUGGGCCACUUUGGCAUGGAGAACCCACACAUUCUAUUGGGAUUGUAUCUGUAGACAUCUUUGAAACCAGUCUCCCAGGGCUGAUGACUCUGGGAGUGACCCAGGAGGAGGAGAAGAAGAAAGCAGUGUUGAAGUCACUAGCGAGGACCCAUGAGAAAUUUGGACAUGUCUUGAAGUUUCAGGGACACCCUGGAGCCCUGGGUAACCAGAGAUAGACUGCUGGGAAACAACAGCCAGACGAUCCUACUCCUGUGAUGAGCUUGUAUCGUCAAGACCCCUCUUCUACCCCGCAAACCUCUCAUACUAAGUAUCGGUUCCAAGACAAAAGAGGGUCGACGUGGGUCAAAUCUAGCAAAGGACGCUGCUUUGGGGACUGGAAUACGGCUGUCUAGCACACACUCCCCGCCCGCGCCCCAGCCCCGCAAGACGAUGAAGUGACUGAAAGGCUCAGUAUUCGAGGUAGUUUGUACUCCCUAACCCAGCACCUGCAUUCCUGGAUCACCUCCCUCUAAAGCCUGAUGAGGACUCAAUUUCCCGCCCGCCCCACCUUCCUUCCUCCUCGACUGAAGCUGCGGGCUUCUUCCACCGCCACCAGGUGGCACAAUGAACUACUACUUGGACCCGCCUAGCAACCAAGAUUAGCUCCACUCUGCUCUGGGAGCCGGAACAUUUUGGAGGAGAAAGAGAUCCUGAUUAUCUUGGCAAAGGAAGAGAGCAAGAUUGCUCUACUCAGUGAGAAUAAAAUGGCCAAAUCCUAAA